GAUGAACGCUGGCGGCGUGCCUAAUACAUGCCAGUCGAGCGAACAGAUGAGGAGCUUGCUCCUCUGACGUUGCGGCGGACGGGUGAGUAACACGUUGAUAACCUACCUAUAAGACUGUGAUAACUUCGGUAAACCGGACCUAAUACCGGAUAAUAUAUUGAACCGCAUGGUUCAAUAGUGAAAGACGGUUUUGCUUUCACUUAUAGAUGGAUCCGCGCCGCAUUAGCUAGUUGGUAAGGUAACGGCUUACCAAGGCGACGAUGCGUAGCCGACCUGAGAGGGUGAUCGUCCACACUGGAACUAAGAAACGGUCCAGACUCCUACGGGAGGCAGCAGUAGGGAAUCUUCCGCAAUGGGCGAAAGCCUGACGGAGCAACGCCGCGUGAGUGAUGAAGGUCUUCGGAUCGUAAAACUCUGUUAUUCGGGAAGAACAAAUGUGUAAGUCACUAUGCACGUCUUGACGGUACCUAAUCAGAAAGCCACGGCUAACUACGUG
rnacentral:rRNA from 1 species